rnacentral:rRNA from 1 species
UACGGAGGGAGCUAGCGUUGUUCGGAAUUACUGGGCGUAAAGCGCACGUAGGCGGCUUGUAGAUUAGAGGUGAAAGCCCGGGGCUCAACUCCGGAACUGCCUUUAAGACUGCAUCGCUUGAAUCCAGGAGAGGUGAGUGGAAUUCCGAGUGUAGAGGUGAAAUUCGUAGAUAUUCGGAAGAACACCAGUGGCGAAGGCGGCUCACUGGCCCGAUACUGACGGCUG